AGCAUACAAUGAAAUUAAAAGGUAUAUUCUAGAGUUAUGUAGUUGUCCAACCUCAUAGCCUUCCACUAGGUGGCUGUAUGUACAUCCGAAGUUGCUUGCAAUCCAUUAAUAAUGAUAAGAAGAAGUUAGGGUUGGCCCUAAUCUUAUUUUUAAUUUAAAAAAUUAAAAAUAAAAAUACGGAUGGAUUUGCUCAUAUGAUUAUAUGAAAAUCUGUGUUUGUACCAUAUGAAAAUGUUUAAUAUUUGUAUUAGUAGUAAUAAUAAUAAAUUACGGAUUGCACCCGACAAAACAUUAGAGAAGAAGAAGAAGAAGAAGCUUACGUCAUUCGACGCGACACUUUCCACGGUCGGAGCUGGUGAGUAGCCCCUGAAUCUGUCAAAUAAAAAUGUAGUAAAAAACCUCAAAAGACCGAAAGUCUACAUUUAUAAAUCUGCUGAUGGUAGUUCUAUGAGUUAAUGUUAGCGAGUAUGUGGCACAGCAUGUGUUUGUACAGAUUUAGACACGUUUUUAACCCUAUUUGGUAGAAAAAAAAAGCUAGCUAAAGUAGCCUCUUAAAAGCCAGUCACAUUCAAAUGUAGCUGUCCUUCAUACCUUUAAUAACAAUGUGCUAAAAUUUUGUUUUUUUUAUUAUUAUUUUAUGCUUCUCGGUGUUACAGUAUUUCUGUCUUCUUUCUGUUCUCUCCCACUUUAGAACCAUGCCUAAAUAUAAGAGCAGUGUCCGUUGUAAGACCAAAAAAAUAAAAGUAACUCGGAAAACCAUCGGUGCUCGGGCGAAAUAUUCCUACAUUCCCUCACAUGCAGGCUCAUCUGACACCAACACUGUUUUUCCCUCAUCAAAUGAUAUUUGUACUGAAAACUCAAAGGAAGAAGGGACCGCGUAUACCAGGGCAAAAAGGAAGGAGCUGAGCCUAUGGGAUACACUAAAAGAUCAGGUCUUGGAAGAGUCCUAUAAGUCCUCCGCUCCUUUCUCUGACAUGUGCUCUGUGUGCAAGAAACCUGGAGUAUACCGCUGUCUGGAAUGCAGCAGAAGCAGUGUUUUUUGCAAGGAUUGUGUCUACACAGUACCCAUAAAUUCUUUGCACCUCCCUGAAAAGUGGAAUAAAACCUGCUAUGAGGCUGCUUUCCAGCAGUUGGUGUUGCAUUUAAGUGGGGAUCACAGCACCCAUGUUGUUUACUCCAGAGAUGUAAAGACUUUUGUCAACACAGGUCAUCUCAUUAAUUGCACAGUUUCUUUUUGUAAAUGCGAACCUGAGGUCUGCACUCUUCUGAAGUAUGGCCUUUGGCCUGCUUCACCGGAGAAGCCACAGGCUGCUUUUUCAAUGGCUCUUCUUGAGCUAUUUGUCCAUCUUUCUUUGGAGUGCCAGGUCUCUGUAGAGGGAUUCAUCAACACCUUACGGUGGAAAAACAAUCUUACUGUUAUGGAGGUAGAGAGAAAAAGAUAUGUCCUAGUAAAUAUGUCAACAAUAUUGCAACUUUUUUAUUCUGUUUAAUAUAUUAAAUAUUUCUUUAAAUUAAUGUCACUGAUGGCAUUUCCAGUAGACUAGAUGUGUUAUUUACUGCUUUCUCAUUUAGAAUUUUUUUUUUUACAGUAUUUAUUUAUUUAUUUUUUUUACUUAUGUACCUUUGGAAUUAAUAGAUUAAACAUAAGUACUGUGACUCUUUUUA